rnacentral:tRNA from 4 species
GCGAAGGUGGCGGAAUUGGUAGACGCGCUAGCUUCAGGUGUUAGUAUCCUUACGGACGUGGGGGUUCAAGUCCCCCCCCUCGCACCA